UAAUACGUAGGUGGCAAGCGUUGUCCGGAUUUAUUGGGUUUAAAGGGUGCGUAGGCGGUCCUAUAAGUCAGUGCUGAAAUAUCCCAGCUUAACUGGGAGGGUGGCAUUGAUACUGCAGGACUUGAGUAGAGUCGAAGUAGGCGGAAUUGACGGUGUAGCGGUGAAAUGCUUAGAUAUCGUCAAGAACACCGAUAGUGAAGACAGCUUACUAGGCUCAAACUGACGCUGAGGCACGAAAGUGUGGGGAUCAAACAGGAUUAGAUACCCUGGUAGUCCACACUGUAAACGUUGAUUACUCGCUGUUGGCGAUACACAGCCAGCGGCCAAGCGCAAGCGAUAAGUAAUCCACCUGGGGAGUACGCCGGCAACGGUG
rnacentral:rRNA from 1 species